GAAAGACCAGCCAUCUACAGAUUGCGUUCAAGCAGCCAGACCAGGGGAGAACUAAACCAAACACCUCCUCAGUCUCAACCCUGACUAUGGGUCCAACCAGCAAGUUCACAUUGAGAAGAAAUGAAUGAUUUUCACUGCAGUCUGAAAAAAAGCUGAGACAUGAGUGGUGUCUGCGCAGGUCAUCAAACUUUGCAAAAUAUAGGAGAAAGAAAAUCUAAUUACUUUGAAGAUGCUCUGUGAAUUAACUAGGGAGGGUUUGGACCAUGAGAGGUUCAUCUUCUGAUGAGCAAGAACCAUGGAGAGCAGCCUGGAUGGCCGACUGGACAAAGAAAGACCCAGAUUAGAGUCUCAGCAACUGUGCUGUGUGACCCUGUGCAAGUUACUAAACUUCUCUGAGCCACAAGGGCUUUAUCUGUAGAAAAGAUAUAUUAAUACUUCUUUGAAAGUUUGUGCUGGAGAUUGGAAUACGUCAACAAACUGUUAGCACAGGUCUUCAUGUAGGUCAUCAUACAAAUGUUCAAAAAAGGUAGAAAUUUUUCUCCUGGGUAAUGCAUCUGAAAAUUCAGACAGCAUUGUCUACUCUUUCUCCUGACAAUCUAGGUUGAAUUGCAUGGAUGGAGAUGAUUCACAUCAAUAUUGUCAUCCCAAAGAAGCUAUUUCUUCUUGCUAUCUCAUCCCAUAAAAAGCCCUGAUUCCUGUCUUUGCUACUGUCUGAUUGUCCCAUUCUUCCUUCGAUCCUACAAGCAAGACUACAUGUUUCUACUAAAUUUCUUUUUGCUAAUUACUCAGAGAAGUAGCUUGCAUCUAAAAAUCUUUAACAGAUUCAGUUAAUAUUGUUAACAUUAUGAGCAGUGUUUGUAUCCCUAAUUGCUAUUAUUAACAUUAUUAUGUAUUCUUUUUAUACUUAGUGGUAGUAGUGUUAACAUCUUUCUUAGUGCUGUGAAAGUCUUAACUGGGCCCUAAGUUUGGGGUUGAUAGAGAAUGGGAUUGGGGCAGGCAUGGUGGCUCACGUGUGUAAUCCCAGUACUUUGGGAGGCCAAGGCAGGCGAAUCACUUGAGGUCAGGAGUUCAAGAUCAGCCUUACACAGCAAAUCCCCAUCUCUACUAAAAAUACAAAAAUUAGCUGGGUGAGGUGAUGCACGCCUGU
rnacentral:lncRNA from 1 species